GCAGCAGGCGCGAAAACUUUGCAAUACACGAAAGUGUGACAGGGCUAUCCCGAGUGCCAUCCGCUGAGGAAGGCUUUUACCCAGUCUAGAACGCCGGGGGAAUAAGGAGAGGGCAAGUCUGGUGUCAGCCGCCGCGGUAAUACCAGCUCUCCGAGUGGUGUGGAUGUUUAUUGGGCCUAAAGCAUCCGUAGCUGGCUGAGUUAGUCCCUUGUUAAAUCCACCGAAUUAAUCGUUGGAUUGCGGGGAAUACUGCUCGGCUAGGGGACGAGAGAGGCAGACGGUAUUUCUGGGGUAGGGGUGAAAUCCUAUAAUCCCAGGAGGACCACCAGUGGCGAAGGCUGUCUGCUAGAACGCGCCCGACGGUAAGGGAUGAAAGCUGGGGGAGCGAACCGGAUUAGAUACCCGGGUAGUCCCAGCUGUAAACGAUGCAGACUAGGUGUUUGGACGGCCACGUGCCGUUCUAGUGCCGCAGGGAAGCUGUUAAGUCUGCCGCCUGGGGAGUACGAUCGCAAGAUUGAAACUUAAAGGAAUUGGCGGGGGAGCACCACAAGGGGUGAAGCUUGCGGUUUAAUUGGAUUCAACGCCGGGAA
rnacentral:rRNA from 1 species